CGGCGGACCGGUCACGUGCGUUGCGUUCGCCACACGAACUCCCUCGGCUCGCUCUCCGCCCGCUCAAUUUUGCUCCUCUGUUGCCGCAUUCCUCCGCCUCGGGGAAGGUCUCCGACGCGCUUCACACUGUUGGGCUAGUAGAGGUCGAUGAUGAACACGAAGAAGAGGUUGCUUCAGAGAGCACAAAUUAUGGCACUCACUUGUGUCUUGAUAUUUGAUCACCAAGCCCAAAGUGCAGAUGAAGCAGUCAGGAUCUUUACGGAAUUUUGGAGAUCAGAAAGGCUGGAAGACUGAAACACCAUCACUGACCUUUUGACUGGCUUACUUCCUCAAGGAAAACAGCUAACAGACAAACUUUUACCUCUCAUGGUCCUCUUUUUCACUGGUAUUGAACUGCAACUGCUAGUAAUGGGAUGGACAAAUAACUCCUCCCUGUCAGAUUGGUUCAAGGAGGAUGAUCUACAGCCUAGGUGUCCCAUAUAAGAAGAGCGAGACGCAGGCAUUAAUUGAUAUCAAGGGCCGCUUCUUUGGUGGAAGAAUGGUGCAUGCUUCAUUCUAUGGUGAGGAAAGGUUUAGAAACAAAGAGCUGGCUUCAAUGCAUUUAGAAGUACCUGGUUACCCAUGGGGAACAUUAUUAGGCGAUGAGCGUCUCCAGUGGGCUUUCUGGUCGAUGAUACGUCGGUAACAAUUGUAGCUUGUCCAUGGAGCUUAAUGCAGUCGACCAUGCAUGUCUAAGUUUUGGUCCGAGCUAUCAAUUUGAUGUUCGGGUAACUCUUUGUAAAGCAUUAAAGGAUGUUCUUGGUGAGGAUUGUCGACCUGGAAACGUGCUUACAUGAUCUGUUAAUGGACAUUGUUUGUUCCUUCUUAAAACUGCAAGCUAUUGUCAUCCUGGUU